rnacentral:rRNA from 1 species
GACGAACGCUGGCGGCGUGCUUAACACAUGCAAGUCGAACGGUAAGGCCCUUCGGGGUACACGAGUGGCGAACGGGUGAGUAACACGUGGGUGAUCUGCCCUGCACUUCGGGAUAAGCCUGGGAAACUGGGUCUAAUACCGGAUAGGACUCCUGGCUUCAUGGUUGGGGGUGGAUAGCUUUUGCAGUGUGGGAUGGGCCCGCGGCCUAUCAGCUUGUUGGGGGGGUAAUGGCCUACCAAGGCGACGACGGGUAGCCGGCCUGGGAGGGUGACCGGUCACACUGGGACUGAGAUACGGCCCAGACUCCUCAGGGAGGCAGCAGUGGGGAAUAUUGCACAAUGGCGCAAGCCUGAUGCAGCGACGCCGCGUGAGGGAUGACGGCCUUCGGGUUGUAAACCUCUUUCAGCUAUGACGAAGCGCAAGUGACGAUAGUAGCAGAAGAAGGACCGGCCAACUACGUGCCAGCAGCCGCGGUAA